AUUGAACGCUGGCGGCAGGCCUAACACAUGCAAGUCGAACGAGUGGCGGACGGGUGAGUAAUGUAUGGGAAACUGCCCGAUGGAGGGGGAUAACUACUGGAAACGGUAGCUAAUACCGCAUACCAUCGGAUGUGCCCAGGUGGGAUUAGCUAGUAGGUGGGGUAACGGCUCACCUAGGCGACGAUCCCUAGCUGGUCUGAGAGGAUGACCAGCCACACUGGAACUGAGACACGGUCCAGACUCCUACGGGAGGCAGCAGUGGGGAAUAUUGGACAAUGGGCGAAAGCCUGAUCCAGCCAUGCCGCGUGUAUGAAGAAGGCCUUCGGGUUGUAAAGUACUUUCAGCGGGGAGGCGUUACCCACAGAAGAAGCACCGGCUAACUCCGUGCCAGCAGCCGCGGUAAUAC
rnacentral:rRNA from 1 species